AAGAGGGGAAGGAUGUAAUACCCCAAGUUUUACUUUUAAUUAAUUAAUAACUAAUCUUAAUGAUUAAACUAAUAGUGAACUAAUUUUAGUAAAUAAAAAUUUCUAAGUUAAUUUCUAAGAUAUGUUGUUUAAUAAUUUUAGGAUAACAAAGUUCAUAAAUUAAAAUCCUAAGUCUUAGCAUCAAUCUUGUAAAUGAUGUAAGACUUAAGGUUAGCAAAAAUUCUGAUGGACCCAAUGCCCAAUGACCAAAUCCUUUGAAUCCCAAACAAAACAAAAAGGCCUAGUAUUAUUCUCUCCCAAAAUCAGAAAAUAAAACAAAAAUUAAAAGAAAAGCAAUAACUCCAUCUUCUUCCUCCUCCAUACGUGGAAGGACAAGAAUGGAGAUUUCUAAACAAAGUCAAAAACCAACUCAAUAAACUUAAUUAAGUUUUCACUCUCUCAACCAUCCUUAAUCCACUGGUUUUCUCAAAACCCCUGAAUUUAGCCACUUGUUUUCUUGAAUGGUUUUAGUAAUUUAAAAUUCCGAAAUUCAUCUACUGAGAUGGAGAUUUCUCUAUAAAUAGGGAAGAAUGAAUUGUGUUUUUGACAUCACAAAAUCAACAACAAUAAUUCAGAAAUUUACAUCAACUAAAAGAAUUUGGAACAAAAGUUUUUCAAAUCUUUCAACUCCUCUGUUCUUCUGUUUCGGCCACAACUUCAACCACCACGGUACCACCACCCAUCAUCAAUUUGCCUUUCUGCUGCCGUCGAGCAGGCAUAGCCGCCGCCGACCAACCGCCCCAGUCCCCUCUCCUCUCUCGCGCACUCCGUCGUCGCCUUCGAACCCCUGCACGCCUAUUCUCUCUCCUCCUUUCUCCGCCCAUUAUUCGAUGCUAUUGCGGCUAGGAAACGCGCGUACUGCACCGAAGAUCGCCGCCGUGGGUCCGCGCUGCUCGUCGUCGACAACCGAGCCUCGCCGGAUUUCUGCCGGAGCUCCAUUCCUCUUGCUGCGACGCCGAGCCACGUUUCUCUCCUGCGUGUGUGUGUGUUUUCUUGGGAACUCGUUCCUCGGAGCUCAGUAAGGACGAUAUCCAGGACAUAAGAAGAGGAUUAUUAUUAUUACUCUGCAAUCAAGGUAUGGUCAGACAGUUGAAAGAUCGUUGGUAAAACGGAUUUUUGCUAAUGAGUGUUAAAGAAUCUAGUAUGGCACUAAUAGUAAGGGUUCGUAAGCUCAAGCUAGAAGCACUGCAAGAGAGAGAGUUCAGGAUGGAUCUCGUGUAUCGAUGCUGUUGUCUGUAUUUUAUAUCUUAUGGGCUAGGAAGAUUAUAUUAUUAUUAUGGCUAAUGUUGGUGAGUUUUAAGAAUUAUAUUAUCUAAGACUAUUUAAGCAAUUAUUAUAUUUGUGGGCCCAUAACCCACAGGUUUAA